GCUAAUAUGGUGUAGUGGUUAGAGCGUUGGACUAUGACUCUGGAGACCAGAGUUCGAAUCCCCACUUGGCCA
rnacentral:tRNA from 1 species